rnacentral:sRNA from 1 species
CAUGUUUUUCAACAUUUUUCUUUAAUUCAUCUAG